rnacentral:rRNA from 1 species
AACGUAGGAGACAAACGUUAUCCGGAGUUACUGGGCGUAAAGGGUGCGUAGGCGGCGCGGUAAGUCGGGUGUGAAAUCUCGGGGCUUAACUCCGAAACUGCAUUCGAUACUGCCGUGCUUGAGGACUGGAGAGGAGACUGGAAUUUACGGUGUAGCGGUGAAAUGCGUAGAUAUCGUAAGGAAGACCAGUGGCGAAGGCGGUUCUCUGGGACGGUACUGACGCUGAGACGCGAAAGCGUGGGGAGCGAACAGG